AUUGAACGCUGGCGGCAUGCUUUACACAUGCAAGUCGAACGGUAACAGGCCUUCGGGUGCUGACGAGUGGCGAACGGGUGAGUAAUGCAUCGGAACGUACCCAGAGGUGGGGGAUAACGCAGCGAAAGCUGUGCUAAUACCGCAUGUGAUCUGAGGAUGAAAGCGGGGGACCGAGCAGCAAUGUUUGGCCUCGCGCCUUUGGAGCGGCCGAUGUCGGAUUAGCUAGUUGGUGGGGUAAAGGCCUACCAAGGCGACGAUCCGUAGCUGGUCUGAGAGGACGACCAGUCACACUGGGACUGAGACACGGCCCAGACUCCUACGGGAGGCAGCAGUGGGGAAUUUUGGACAAUGGGCGCAAGCCUGAUCCAGCAAUGCCGCGUGCGGGAAGAAGGCCUUCGGGUUGUAAACCGCUUUUGGCAGGAACGAAACGGUGUCCGCUAAUACCGGGCGCUAAUGACGGUACCUGCAGAAUAAGCACCGGCUAACUACGUG
rnacentral:rRNA from 1 species